rnacentral:rRNA from 1 species
AUUGAACGCUGGCGGCAGGCCUAACACAUGCAAGUCGAGCGAGCGGCGGACGGGUGAGCAAUGUAUGGGGACUGCCCGAUAGAGGGGGAUAACUACUGGAAACGGUGGCUAAUACCGCAUACUAUCGGAUAACCCAUAUGGGAUUAGCUAGUAGGUGGGGUAAAGGCUCACCUAGGAGACGAUCUCUAGCUGGUCUGAGCGGAUGAUCAGCCACAAUGGGACUGAGACACGGCCCAGACUCCUACGGAGGCAGCAGUGGGGAAUGUUGCCAAAUGGGCGCAAGCCUGAUCGAGCCAUGCCGCGUGUAUGAAGAAGGCCUUAGGGUUGUAAAGUACUUUCAGUCGGGAGGCGUUACCGACAGAAGAAGCACCGGCUAACUCCGUGCCAGCCGCCGCGGUAAUAC